CAGCGCCACGAGUGGGGAUCACGAUUAUUGGGCCUAAAGCGUCCGUAGCCGGUUUGAUAAAUCUCUUGUGAAAUCGUUUGGCUCAACCAAACGGCAAGCAGGAGACACUAUCAAACUUGAGACCGGGAAGGGUUAGAGGUAUGCUUGGGGGAGCGGUAAAAUGCUAUAAUCCCUUGCAGACCAAUGGUGGCGAAGGCGUCUAACUAGAACGGAUCUGACGGUGAGGGACGAAAGCCAGGGGAGCAAUCCGGAUUAGAUACCCGAGUAGUCC
rnacentral:rRNA from 1 species